AUUGAACGCUGGCGGCAUGCUUUACACAUGCAAGUCGAACGGUAACAGGCCGCAAGGUGCUGACGAGUGGCGAACGGGUGAGUAAUGCAUCGGAACGUGCCCAGCCGUGGGGGAUAACGCAGCGAAAGCUGUGCUAAUACCGCAUACGAUCUAUGGAUGAAAGCGGGGGACCGUAAGGCCUCGCGCGAUUGGAGCGGCCGAUGUCGGAUUAGGUAGUUGGUGGGGUAAAGGCCUACCAAGCCAACGAUCUGUAGCUGGUCUGAGAGGACGACCAGCCACACUGGGACUGAGACACGGCCCAGACUCCUACGGGAGGCAGCAGUGGGGAAUUUUGGACAAUGGGCGCAAGCCUGAUCCAGCAAUGCCGCGUGCAGGAAGAAGGCCUUCGGGUUGUAAACUGCUUUUGUACGGAACGAAACGGUCUGGGUUAAUACCCUGGGCUAAUGACGGUACCGUAAGAAUAAGCACCGGCUAACUACGUGCCAGCCGCCGCAGUAA
rnacentral:rRNA from 1 species